GCAGCUAAUAAAGGUACAGACCUUUUUUACUCAGAAUUGUGAAUGGGUAGCUACUGAUAAGCUGAGAGCAUCAGUUGACACUCUCAGCCUAUCCACAGUGCCCAGAACAAAGUUCAGUUAAGAAACCUUGUGCUGUAAUGGAAGUGAAUGGUCUGAGAAUUUUGAUGCAAGUGACAGGGCAGAGCUAUUGGGCACCAGACUAAAUAUUUUGGGGUUAAACCGUUCUUUACCCCUUGAGGCAAGCCAGUGACUAAGACCUCUUCAC